UACGAAGGGGGCUAGCGUUGCUCGGAAUUACUGGGCGUAAAGGGCGCGUAGGCGGCACUGUUAGUCAGGCGUGAAAGUCCUGGGCUCAACCUGGGAACUGCGCUUGAUACGGCAGAGCUAGAGGAUGGAAGAGGGUCGCGGAAUUCCCAGUGUAGAGGUGAAAUUCGUAGAUAUUGGGAAGAACACCGGUGGCGAAGGCGGCGACCUGGUCCAUUACUGACGCUGAGACGCGAAAGCCAGGGGAGCGAACGGG
rnacentral:rRNA from 1 species